rnacentral:rRNA from 1 species
UACGAAGGGUGCAAGCGUUACUCGGAAUUACUGGGCGUAAAGCGUGCGUAGGUGGUUCGUUAAGUCUGAUGUGAAAGCCCUGGGCUCAACCUGGGAAUGGCAUUGGAAACUGGCGACCUAGAGUGCGGUAGAGGGUAGUGGAAUUCCCGGUGUAGUGGUGAAAUGCGUAGAUAUCGGGAGGAACACCAGUGGCGAAGGCGGCCUUCUGGGAUGCAUCUGACGCUCAGACACGAAAGCUAGGGGAGCGAACGGG